CAUCGCUGAAUCAAAUUUCUAGAUAUGAUAACAGAUAUGAAAACUAGAACAAGUUUAGAAAAAGAGGGAGAAAAACAGAAGACAUAGUCAAGCGUGAAAGACAACCUCAGGAGCAAGAUCGGUCGAAUCGGAUUAGGAUGAUGAUGUUUCUUGCACGCGAGGGAGGGGCACCUGAGAGACAAAAGCCGACGAAAACACUUUGGAAACUGGGACAUCUGGUCACCUUCGGGUCAGAUCUUCAGGUCCUCCGGUCCGAGGAAGCCUGGACUCGCGACGCUCGUUCGAGGUCGUCACUGGGCGAACGCACGGAGCGAGGAUGGUUGUUAGUGGAGGCAUCGAGCAUGCAUUUAACAGUACUCCGGACGGGCCGGUGCGGCGGCGGUGGUUCGCUGAUUCCCUGGGUUUCCGAGGCCCCUUCUUGUCGGGAGGACGAGCUGCGCCCGGCUGGACAUCGGGGGAAAGGAAUCCUCCGCGUGCCCCGACUUGGUGCACGCGCUUCAGUCCAUCGAGGGCCUUCGUCAAAAUUGCAUCCCUCUCUGGCCACCGGCGGUUAGUUCUCCAGUUCGAAAGUGUCUCGAGUGUCUCUAAGGUGAACACCUUACGUGUUAACGAGGAGAGUAAGAAAGAGGAACAGAGAGCCUGACGAGAUCAUGUGGAGAAUCCUGAUCGCAGGAUUUUGCACGGUUGCCGCCACCGUUGCCCAGGAUUACGAGGUCUCGGACAUUCAGUGCAGCGGCGCGGGAUCGGCGGCCGAUCUUCUAACAGCGAAGAUCAAAAGACCGGUUGGCUUCAGAGGCACCCCGCUCUUCGCUGACGACAGAUCAGCGAAUCCACUCGCCGACAUUCACUGCCAGAUCAGACCCGACCCGAAUGAUCCGCAGGAGGAUAACUACUUCCUGAAGGUGACUGACUUCUCCCGAUGCGGUAUCCUCAAGAGAAACGUGAGUCAUCGAUCGAGAGUUACGCGGAACUGAUUCUUUGUAUGAUAUUUGCGUUCCAUUCUGCUGGCCGACCAGGAGCUGAUCUUGAUGUGCCGGCCGCCCGAGCCGACGCUGCUCAGGCAUAAGGCUGCUGGCUUCGCCGGCACUUUUCCGCACGGCGCCAGGGUAUCCGGGGUUGUGGAGGAGACGCCGGGUCGACUCGAGUACGAAGUAGCUCUUUAUCGAGAGGCGACCGGCAACGUGUCCGAUAGCUCGCAGACGGUCGACCAGGCGGUUCCGAUCGGCACCAAACUGCAGCUGCGCGCCCGCAUCAGUGCGGACAGCGCAUGGGGCUACAUCAAGUUGUUGGAGGUGACCGUCAGUCCGGACCCGGAUCAGCCCCAUGCUCCCGGUAGCGUCGUACUCGUCAAGGAUGGCUGCAGGAAUCGCGAUUUCGCGUCCAUCAUCCCGCAUCAACCGGCGAGGUAUCGCGAGCGCAAAAAUGAGGUCUUCCUCGACUUCGAGGCCUUCUUGCUAAGUUCAAUGAGGGAGCGCUCCACCCUCUGGAUUCACUCCCAGAUAAAGGCGUGCAUGGAACCGCAGGACUGUCAACCGGAUUUCUGUCUCGAUCUCUUCGAACCCUCGGGACAUGGAAGAAAGAAAAAAAGAGCGGUCGAGGCGAGUGUAGAAGCAUCGGGUGAGUUUCUCCCAAAAGUCGAGCGUUUGAUCAAAAGGUAUAACGAUUCCACGCAAUAUACAAAGUUCAAGGAGAACAUUGAAUAUACGGUGAUGAUGCCAGAUGACUUGUAUGACAAAGUAGCAGCCGGCCUCGAAGGUAGCUGCGGAAAUUUCCUUUACGUGGCAACGGGAUUGGGCGCUCUACUAGUGUUAUCAGCCUUUAUCAUGUGCUACCUAGCAUCGCGUCUUCACAAUCUCUCCUCGACGAUGCAGCAGAGCAAAUCUAUCGACGAGUUGGUCAGAGAUCGCACUAGAAAAUAUUGCGACACCACGCCUGGCUACACCGGUCGUUCGACGAUGCAAUAGAUUCGGAGAGAAAAAAAAAUUCGAAAAUAGUACUUUGUCGCGCAAUAAAUAUACUUUUCGCGAAAUAUACAUCAAGUUACAAUGUAACGCGUAACGUAUAAUUCAUGCAACGUUACAACGAUACUUGGCAACUGGAAUGACAGAUAUUUAUUCGCGACAGGGAAUACGUUAUAUUUGUAAGCCACAUUUUUUUCUACAAGAGGGCAAAAAUACUUGUCCUAUUUCAAAGAUAAGAGAGAUGCGAGAGAUGUAUUUUAAUGUUUCGUUAAUAAUUACGUUGCAUUGCAAUUUAUCGUAAUUAUCGAUAUUAGUAUUGAGAAAUAAUUAAUUCUCAUCGCGAGAAAGACUUUGACAGGGAUUCUCAAUAACGUUUGAACAAGUGAACAACAUCGCCCACUGAGGAAUAAAAAUAAUUCUCACGACGUUAGAAUGCUCGAAAAUUCUCGUGGUGGCAAACGAGAAUAUUUUCCAUAUAAAAUAGAAUCAAUUCGCAUUAACGAGACAUGAGCGAAGAUAAAUUGCAAAUUUAUAAAAGAAAUUUAUAUCGCCAAAUUUGGAGUUAUGCCGAUGGAACAUCGUUUGCUACUUUGCAAUGUAGAUAUGAUAGUCACGCUACACGUGUUUAUAUUUUAUGAGGAAGCACAGUUUUAAACCGCUUAACACAGUUUUUCUAUAUGAAUACAAAUGCAAACAGUCUAUUUUUUGCCCAAUUCUUCAU